rnacentral:rRNA from 1 species
AGGGUUUGAUCAUGGCUCAGGAUGAACGCUAGCGGCAGGCUUAACACAUGCAAGUCGAGGGGUAUAGUUCUUCGGAGCUAGAGACCGGCGCACGGGUGCGUAACGCGUAUGCAAUCUACCUUUUACAGAGGGAUAGCCCAGAGAAAUUUGGAUUAAUACCUCAUAGUAUGUGAGAAUCGCAUGGUUUUCACAUUAAAGUUCCAACGGUAAAAGAUGAGCAUGCGUCCCAUUAGCUAGAUGGUAAGGUAACGGCUUACCAUGGCGACGAUGGGUAGGGGUCCUGAGAGGGAGAUCCCCCACACUGGUACUGAGACACGGACCAGACUCCUACGGGAGGCAGCAGUGAGGAAUAUUGGACAAUGGGCGCAAGCCUGAUCCAGCCAUGCCGCGUGCAGGAUGACGGUCCUAUGGAUUGUAAACUGCUUUUGUACAGGAAGAAACACUCCCUCGUGAGGGAGCUUGACGGUACUGUAAGAAUAAGGAUCGGCUAACUCCGUGCCAGCCGCCGCGGUAAUACA